AUGGAGUUUCGCCGGCGUUCCGCCCGGCUGCGCGCCGGAGCGGACCGCAUCAGCGCCCUCCCCGACGACCUGCUCCUCCUCGUCCUCGCCCGCCUCCGCUGCGCCCGCGCCGCCGCGCGCACGGGGCUAAUCUCGCGCCGGUGGCGCGGCCUCGCGGCCCGCCUCCGCGAGAUCGUCUUCCGCGGCGUCCCCCUCCACAGGAUCGAAGCCGCGCUCGGCCGCCUGUCUCCCGCGGUUUCGCUCCUCGAGAUCCGCGUCCCCAAGGAGCGCCGCGCCGACACCGCCCGCGGCAAGUUGCUGCUCCGCGUCGGCCCCGCCCGCGGCAACUCGCUGCUCCGCGUCGGCACCACCCGCGCCAACUCGCUGCUCCGCGCCGCCGCGCGCCUCGAGCCGGAGGAGCUCGUCUUCGACCUCCCCUCCGAUCUGAUCGACGGCUCUCUCGUCGUCGACCUGCCCUGCCUGCGCCGCGCCACCUUCAUCGCGCUGCGAAUCUUCCUCCUCAUCCUCCGCGUGCCGGACGGCGCCGAGUUCCCGGCGCUCGAGUCACUGUCCCUGUCGUGCGGCAUCGCGCACGCCCACCUCGACGCCCUGCUCCGCCACUGCCCGCGCCUGCGCACGCUCCGGCUCGGCGGCUUCCUGUUCGACCAAGGCGACCUGAGGGUCAACUCGGCGUCGCUGCAGGAGCUGGCCGUGGACCGCGAGAGCGGGCUGACACACCGCGUCGACAUCGUCGCCCCCGCGCUCAAGCAAUUGUCCAUGUCCUUGAUAGCCACGGAGGUCAGCAUCUCCGUCUUGGCUCCAAUGGUGGAGAAGGUCUCGUGGCACUGCUGCUACAGGGCAGGGUCUAUUACCUUUGGUCUUUGGGAGCUUGAGCAGGUGACGCUGGAGACGUCAGAGAGCCAAGGGCAGCUCCCUUCGCUGCAGAUUCAUGCCUCCAUAUUCCGGUCAAAUUUUCCCGGCGGAGCGAUCAGCUUCACGCAAGAGAUAGCGAAGCAUAUGGUUGUUGCCUUCUCUGCUCUGGAGCUUCAUCUCAAAACAGCCGGGCACGUUUUUGGAGCAAUUGUGUUUCUUCUCCUUGGAAUGAAUCGGAUUCGUCCAGCUGUGCGGAGGCUUAAGCUCGUCCUAUGGAGAACAACGGUGAGAGAAAGAUGCCUACCAAAUUGUCCAUGUCAGCCCUUGGACUGGAGAUCGCAAACUGUCUCCUUCACUCAUCUCGAAGAAGUGGAGAUCACUGGCUUUGAAGGGGUGGGUCAUGAGUUUGAUUUCUUAAAAUUGAUGCUCGGGUGUUCACCGGCACUUAAAAAAAUGACUUUGAAGCUGUCACGUGAUGUGUGGUCGAGGAAAGAUGGAUGCACAAUAAUAAACGACAUCUUCAAGGCGUAUCCAUCCGUGCAAUGCUAUGUUUAUCUUUCCUAUGGGUUCAUCCAUGGCUACCAAAAUUAUCACUGA
rnacentral:rRNA from 1 species